rnacentral:rRNA from 1 species
GAUGAACGCUGGCGGCGUGCCUAAUACAUGCAAGUCGAGCGAACGGACGAGAAGCUUGCUUCUCUGAUGUUGGCGGCGGACGGGUGAGUAACACGUGGAUAACCUACCUAUAAGACUGGGAUAACUUCGGGAAACCGGAGCUAAUACCGGAUGAUAUUUUGAACCGCAUGGUUCAAAAGUGAAAGACGGUCUUGCUGUCACUUAUAGAUGGAUCCGCGCUGCAUUAGCUAGUUGGUAAGGUAACGGCUUACCAAGGCAACGAUGCAUAGCCGACCUGAGAGGGUGAUCGGCCACACUGGAACUGAGACACGGUCCAGACUCCUACGGGAGGCAGCAGUAGGGAAUCUUCCGCAAUGGGCGAAAGCCUGACGGAGCAACGCCGCGUGAGUGAUGAAGGUCUUCGGAUCGUAAAACUCUGUUAUUAGGGAAGAACAUAUGUGUAAGUAACUGUGCACAUCUUGACGGUACCUAAUCAGAAAGCCACGGAUAACUACGUG